UGCAAGUAGAACGCUGAAGGAGGAGCUUGCUUCUCUGGAUGAGUUGCGAACGGGUGAGUAACGCGUAGGUAACCUGCCUGGUAGCGGGGGAUAACUAUUGGAAACGAUAGCUAAUACCGCAUAACGGUAGAUGUUGCAUGACAUUUGCUUAAAAGGUGCAAUUGCAUCACUACCAGAUGGACCUGCGUUGUAUUAGCUAGUUGGUGGGGUAACGGCUCACCAAGGCGACGAUACAUAGCCGACCUGAGAGGGUGAUCGGCCACACUGGGACUGAGACACGGCCCAGACUCCUACGGGAGGCAGCAGUAGGGAAUCUUCGGCAAUGGACGGAAGUCUGACCGAGCAACGCCGCGUGAGUGAAGAAGGUUUUCGGAUCGUAAAGCUCUGUUGUAAGAGAAGAACGAGUGUGAGAGUGGAAAGUUCGCACUGUGACGGUAUCUUACCAGAAAGGGACGGCUAACUACGUGCCAGCAGCCGCGGUAAUACGUAGGUCCCGAGCGUUGUCCGGAUUUAUUGGGCGUAAAGCGAGCGCAGGCGGUUAGAUAAGUCUGAAGUUAAAGGCUGUGGCUUAACCAUAGUACGCUUUGGAAAC
rnacentral:rRNA from 1 species